rnacentral:lncRNA from 1 species
UUUAAUUCAUUGAAUCAAUAUUUCAAAAAUGGGUCAAAUCACGGAUCGAUCUGAUUUGAUUUCCUCCACCUAUCCAUUAAAAAAAAUCUUUAUUCAUCCAAAUUACAGGGAAUUGGCUAAAUGUAAAUCGCCAAUUGGCAAAAUGCCUAAUUCAGUUUCAGACACACUCGUUGAAGUCCAUCCAUCCAAAAGUCCCUUUGUUCCCUGUGGCUGUUAUUCCCCAUAUCAUAUCCCGACCGACGCCAUAUCUCUGAUCUUCAGCUGCCUGCUCCAUCCUCCAGCUUCAGGUAGAAGAAGAUGUUUUAAUUAAGUCAUAUCUCU